rnacentral:rRNA from 1 species
AUUGAACGCUGGAGGCAGGCUUAACACAUGCAAGUCGAGCGAGCGGCGGACGGGUGAGUAAUGUCUGGGAACCUGCCUGAUGGAGGGGGCUAACUACUGGAAACGGUAGCUAAUACCGCAUACCCUCCGAUGUGCCCAGAUGUGAUUAGCUAUUAGGUGGGGUAAUGGCUCACCUAGGCGACGAUCCCUAGCUGGUCUGAGAGGAUGACCAGCAACACUGGAACUGAGACACGGUCCAGACUCAUACGGGAGGAAGAAGUGGGGAAUAUUGCACAAGGGGCGCAAGACUGAUGCAGCCAUGCCGCGUGUGUGAAGAAGGCCUUCGGGUUGGAAAGCACUUUCAGCGAGGAGGAGUUACUCGCAGAAGAAGCACCGGCUAACUCCGUGCCAGAAGCCGCGGUAAUAC